CCCUGGUGAUGCUGGCCACCUCAUCGUGGUGCCAGGGUCCAGUACCUCGCCUAUGCGUGGGAAGCCAAGAGCCGG
rnacentral:ribozyme from 1 species